rnacentral:sRNA from 1 species
AGCAGCCGCGGUAAUUCCAGCUCCAAUAGCGUAUAUUAAAGUUGUUGCAGUUAAAAAGCUCGUAGUUGAAUUUCGGGAUUGACACAUCGGUCGUGCCUUAAGGGGUAUGAACUGGUGUAGCCAAUUUCUCACCUUCUGGAGAACCGCGAUGCCCUUAAUUGGGUGUCACGGGGAACCAGGACCUUUACUUUGAAAAAAUUAGAGUGUUUAAAGCAGGCAUUUUGCUUGAAUACAUUAGCAUGGAAUAAUAAAAUAGGACGGCGUGAUUCUAUUUUGUUGGUUUCUAGGAUCACCGUAAUGAUUAAUAGGGAUAGUUGGGGGCAUUAGUAUUCAAUUGUCAGAGGUGAAAUUCUUGGAUUUAUUGAAGACUAACUACUGCGAAAGCAUUUGCCAAGGAUGUUUUCAUUAAUCAAGAACGAAAGUUAGGGGAUCGAAGACGAUCAGAUACCGUCGUAGUCUUAACCAUAAACUAUGCCGACUAGGAAU